rnacentral:tRNA from 1 species
GGGCACUUGGCACAGUUGGUAGCGCGCACGCUUCGCAUUGAGUUUGCGUGAGGUCGUGGGUUCAACUCCCACAGUGUCCA